rnacentral:tRNA from 1 species
GGAAGUGUGGCCGAGUGGUUUAAGGCGCACGCUUGGAAAGCGUGUGUAUAGGCAACUGUACCGGAGGUUCGAAUCCUCUCGCUUCCGCCA